AGUGAACGCUGGCGGCGUGCUUAACACAUGCAAGUCGAACGAGAACGGAAUAUAGCUUGCUAUAUUUGUCAGCUAAGUGGCGCACGGGUGAGUAAUGUAUAGAUAACCUGCCCUUAAGAAAGGAGUAACAGUUGGAAACGACUGCUAAUGCCCUAUAUGCCUUUAAUACAUAAGUAUGCAAGGGAAACGCUUUAGUGCUUAAGGAUGGGUCUGUAUGGUAUCAGCUUGUUGGUGAGGUAAUGGCUCACCAAGGCUAUGACGCCUAACUGGUUUGAGAGGAUGAUCAGUCACACUGGAACUGAGACACGGUCCAGACGCCUACGGGAGGCAGCAGUGGGGAAUAUUGCACAAUGGACGAAAGUCUGAUGCAGCAACGCCGCGUGGAGGAUGACACAUUUCGGUGCGUAAACUCCUUUUAUAUAGGAAGAUAAUGACGGUACUAUAUGAAUAAGCACCGGCCAACUCCGUGCCAGCCGCCGCCGUAA
rnacentral:rRNA from 1 species